GAUUUCUAUAAUCACUUCUUUAGUUGUUUAAGUAAUAUAAUGUUUUAAUUAUUAAGUUCAUAUGAAGUUGAGGUUAAAUCAAUGGAUUAUUUUGAUAAAUGCACGAAUGGGUCGAAUAAUUCAUAGAUGAAUAACAAGCCGAAUACGUAUAAGUUAAGAAAUUCCUUAACUCGGAUGUUGGACUUCAAGAUCACGUGAUAGAAUAUUAAAUUACAAUCAUAUAGGAAGAAACGUGACGCAAAACGGACGAAAAAUGAGAGAGUUAUGUCCGUUUCAGUAAGGAUUAAUGGCUAGGAAAAGUGCAGAGUUGACACGGCCGGGUGGUGAACUGACACGGCCGGGUGAAGGUUCUGUCAAAAAUAUUAUUUAUGUGAUUUAUGCGCCGUAGGCUUCGGUAUAUUAUCCGUGAACUACGACGGGCCUCCCAAACAUGAUUUUGAGUGUUUCCUUGACGAUUAUAAGUUGUAAACCCAAGUCUAAGCCUCAUGUAAUUUAUAUAAGAGUGUGAUAGAUGUAUGUAAUGAAGUUGGACAUGUAUUACAUGUAAAUGUAUACAAAAAUACGUACGGAACACGUAGGUAUGAAUACAUGAUUGUAGGUAUGAUUAAAUGUAUAUUAGGUAUGUAGAUGUGUAUGAUUGUAAGUUUGUACGUGUGCAAGUAUGUGCGAAUGCAUGAUUUGGAUGCAUUUGAGAAUUAGCGUUACUAAUAAUGCCCUUGGGUUUGGAAUAUAAGUUGAUUGGAUGCAUUUAAAUGGUUAACGUCCUUUUUAUGAAGAUGUAGUAAAUGAAUAUGUUGAGAUUACGGGUUUGGCUAACCAAGUUAUUAUUGAGUAUGUUUGAAAGUGCAGGUUAUGAAUGUCGGACUUUCGAAGUGUUGAUAUAAUAAUGAAACGGUUGAAUGUUGAAAGGAUAAUCGGAUUGAAGUAACUUAUGCGGUUAGAAUAUGCUAUGGACGUUUUAGUUUAUACAAUAUUAUAUGUUUGGUCGUCACCAUCUACUAACAGGUAAAUCCUCAAUUUUGGCGACUUGGAGAAUCGGAGCGAGCGCGUGUUCGUGUUAUGCGAUACCAAACGCUUCCGCUAGCUUGUUCAAAUGUUUUUGAUCCAAAAUUUAUUGUAUUGGUUUAGUAGUAUCUUGUUGAACGAAUUGUAGAAUUGUAUCUAGUUUGUUCAUGUUUAAAACAGGGGUAUGCUCGUUUUAUGGACGGGUCAUGCCCGAUUUUUUUGUUACAUUAUAGUUUGAUAAUAUCACAUUUAGGAAGGUGAAAUUUUGGGCGUAACAAGUUGGUAUCACAGCCUAGGUUUGAGGGAUUCGUGCAAGAGUAUCAGUGCUUGAACUCAAACCGAUGGCUCGUGCAAAAGUGUGCUCGCUCCGAGAUCGCCAAUGAGGCCAAGAGCACGCGGGUUAUGUGAAGGGUAAGCGCGAUUGUUCGGAAGGAAUGAUCCGUGAAUGCGGUCUAGGACCGGCAUCAAGGCAAGUAAUAAGACGAAUUGACCCCUGGUAAACUUGAUGAAUAGACGCGCAAUGUCACUAACCGGAAAGGAAUGAUUACCGUAAAGUAUGGAUAAUGAAUCAAUGGAAUUUACUUCCGUCAGGUACGUAUAAAAAGGGUUGUAACUUUAGUAUGAGGUUAUGACUCGACUAGAGAGGGAUGCGUCAAAAUAGAAUAUGUGUAUACAAAACCGUAAUGAAAAAUGUGAAGUGAACUUCUAAAUGUUCGUAAUGAUCAUUGAGUGGUAUUGAACCUGAAUGCUCAUAACUGUGGAAAUUCUGAUAGAAUAUAAGAGACGACAAGUAUCGUUAAGAAAUGCUAACUUUGAUGCUCGGCUUGUUGGCCAUGUUCAUUUGAACAAGAUAUUGUAGGAAAGAUACGCAUGGCACGUAUAACAAUAGUAACCAUGGAAAUAAUACUUGGUCUUCGAAUUAAGUACGGAUAAGUAAGUUGAAGAAGGGUGACUUUGAUUUAAAUAAUAAGUCUUUGAAUGAUUAUAGUAUGCAUAUGAUAAUGUAUUGACCCCCCCCCCCUAUGAGUUUAAAAGGUAAACAAAAGUAAUGAUAGAAAUUGAUUGUUUGGAUGGCUCGUGGUGAACAACAUGAAAGAUAGCAUAGGAUGUAUGAGCAGUAUGAAAUAAACCGAUUUAUUUUCAUUAGUAAAUAUACGAAUGUAAUAUGCUUAAAUAGGAUGUUAGAAACAAGACAUAGACUUAGUCUGUAUGAUUAAUAACUAUAUACACUUGGAAUAAAUUCGAUGAAUGAAGCGCUAGUGAUGAUAUGUGCUAGGAGCUAGCAUUAUAAAGUCAAGACGACACUAACAAGAGCUCGGGGUCAGAUUCUGACCUUAAUGCGAAUAUGAAAGUAACUUACUUGAUUUAAGAACGGAGGGACAACGCGUACAAAGACGUUUACGAAUGAAUGAAACUCUUGCCAAGAUCUCGAAUGCAUCCCUGUGGUAGUAAGCAUUGUGAAUGAAAAGAUAAAAGAGUGGGUGUACAAUUGGUCCGGUUGGAAUGAGAAAGGUUUCGGGGACGAAACCUUCUUUAAGGGGGGUAGACUUGUAACACCCCAAAAAUAUUUGCUAAAAUGUUAUGAUAAAAAGGGUAGUAAUUUAAGUUAAUUAAGUGGUAAAUAUGGAGGGACUAAAGAUGUAAAUGCCCAAAAGUUUAGAUAAUAAAAUGUUAAAUGAUUAAAACCCACACACAACUCGUGUGUGGGGUUCUGGACGAUCGACAGAGAGGAGCAAGGAGGGGUGAAACCCUAACUUCACAAAAUCCACAAGAAUUACUUGAAAUCUUAAGGAAAUCGAAAGAAUAAUCAUCAAAUUCUAAGCUCCUACACCUGUUCUUUGAAGUGGAACGUGUCAAGGAGAGCUCAAGCAUAGGAGGAUAACGGGUCAAGAUAAGGCAAGGUGACAAAUACACUUAUUGGAAUACUCAAGGUUAUGAAUGUCGGACUUUCGAAGUGUUGAUAUAAUAAUGAAACGGUUGAAUGUUGAAAGGAUAAUCGGAUUGAAGUAACUUAUGCGGUUAGAAUAUGCUAUGGACGUUUUAGUUUAUACAAUAUUAUAUGUUUGGUCGUCACCAUCUACUAACAGGUAAAUCCUCAAUUUUGGCGACUUGGAGAAUCGGAGCGAGCGCGUGUUCGUGUUAUGCGAUACCAAACGCUUCCGCUAGCUUGUUCAAAUGUUUUUGAUCCAAAAUUUAUUGUAUUGGUUUUUAGUAGUAUCUUGUUGAACGAAUUGUAGAAUUGUAUCUAGUUUGUUCAUGUUUAAAACAGGGGUAUGCUCGUUUUAUGGACGGGUCAUGCCCGAUUUUUUUGUUAAAUUAUAGUUUGAUAAUAUCACAUUUAGGAAGGUGAAA